rnacentral:RNase_P_RNA from 1 species
GGAGUCGGCCUGGCAGUCGCUGCAUCGCCAGAUGCGGAGGAAAGUCCGGGCUCCAUAGGGCAGGACGCCAGGUAACACCUGGGCGGCGCGAGCCGACGGAAAGUGCCGCAGAAAACAAACCGCCGAUGGCCCGGUUCGCCGGUGCACAGGCAAGGGUGAAAAGGUGCGGCAAGAGCGCACCGCGCGGCUGGCAACAGUCCGUGGCAAGGUAAACCCCGUCCGGAGCAAGGCCAAAUAGGGGUGCAUGGUGUGGCCCGCAUCGCACCCGGGUAGGCUGCUUGAGGCGUUCGGUGACGAUCGUCCCAGAGGAAUGACUGCCCUCGACAGAACCCGGCUUAUCGGCUGACUCCCACU